UUAAUCUUUCCUGCUGGCAAUGCUUUGGUUGUUCCCCAUUCUCUUCCAGAUAAAGAGCAAAUGUGUUAACAAGGCUUUUUGGGACCUUGGGGUGGCCCACCAUGGCCCCAUCAGGCUGGGGAAUAGAGGGAGUGAGAAGAGGACCACCAAACAGGGGGACUGCCUGGAAGAAGUGACACUAGAGCUGAAAUCUUACCGAUUUGUGGAAGAGAACUGAGAACGGUGAAAAGCUUUCUAGGUUCCUCCCGGCAGCCCUUCCGGAAGUCUCUGUGCCAAGCAAAUAUACCUGAUUGACCUCCUGUGACUACAGCUUCUUGAAAAGCAGUAGCCAAUGCAUAACUGCUUUCUUCUCAUCUUCCUCACCUUCAUCACCCUGGGCUUGCAUCUCCUAAGUAAGGCACCAGCAUUUAAUCCUUUCUUCAGCUGCCUCUCUGGAGACAAGGGUAACACCAGGCUUCCUUGAAUUGUUUAUGAGAAGGUGAAGCUUGGAGCUGCAGCUACCACUUUGUGAGCAAGCGCCAAUACUGAGGAUGGCAGAGCAGAAAGCAAGCCUGGGACAGCACUGAGCUGUCAAGCCAUUACAGCUACUGACCUCCAGAUACUUAUGUGAGAUGAAAUACCUGUAUUGAUUUGUUAGGUACAGUAGUCCCCCUUUAUCCAUGAUUUCACUUUCUGCAGUUUCA